UCGGAAAUGCCAUCAUGCUCCUCAAUUUCACCUUGGAUUCGGGCAGGAAUGCGAAAUCCAGAGAAUCCGCCUAAUUCUGAGGCAAAUCCAAUACCAGAUAUUGAUGCUGAAUACAUAGGUAGCACAGCUUGAUGAUGAUGAAUUGGAUCAGCUGUAGCAAUAGCAAUCGCUGCAGGAAUGCGAAAGCCAGAGAAUCCGCCUAAUUCUGAGGCAAAUCCAAUACCAGAAAUUGAUGUUGAAUACAUAGGUAGCACAGCUUGAUGGUGAUGAAUCGGAUCAGCUGUAGCAAUAGCAAUCGCUGAUGGAUCUAUCCAUGCACGAAUCGAAGGUGAGUAACUGGACUGAAGGGGUCCCCUCUGAGAAAAAUACUGAUUUUGGCCGAACAAC
rnacentral:lncRNA from 1 species